rnacentral:rRNA from 1 species
AUGGUGCAACAAAUAAGAGAAAGCAAAGGAUCUAUGGACGAACACUUCUUGAGGAGAAUUGCUUUGUGUGCAAUUUGCCGACUGCUAUGUCCAAGUACAAAGUCACAAGUUAGUUCAGAAUAUUUGAACCUGAUGUUGGACGAUGGUGAUGUAAAUAAGAUAAAUUGGGCAACCCUGACACUUGAUCACCUCAUUGAGAGCUUGAAGUAG